GACGAACGCUGGCGGUGCGCUUAAUACAUGCAAGUCGAACGGUGAACCGGGCUUCGGCCCGGGGAUCAGUGGCGAACGGGUGCGUACCACGUGGGCAACCUGCCCCUCACUCUGGGAUAACCCCGGGAAACCGGAGCUAAUACCGGAUACUCUCGGCCGACCGCAUGGUCGGCUGAGGAAAGGUCCGCCGGUGAGGGAUGGGCCCGCGGCCUAUCAGCUUGUUGGUGGGGUAACGGCCUACCAAGGCUGCGACGGGUAGCUGGUCUGAGAGGACGACCAGCCACACUGGGACUGAGAUACGGCCCAGACUCCUACGGGAGGCAGCAGUAGGGAAUCUUGCGCAAUGGGCGAAAGCCUGACGCAGCGACACCGCGUGGGGGACGAAGGCCCUCGGGUUGUAAACCCCUUUCGACAGGGAAGAAGCGAUCGUGACGGUACCUGUAGAAGAAGCCCCGGCUAACUACGUGCCAGCCGCCGCCGUAAAA
rnacentral:rRNA from 1 species